GAUGGUAUAGCUCAGUGAUAAAGCAUGUGCUUAGCAUGCAUGAGGUCCUGGGUUCAAUCCCCAGUACCUCCA
rfam:Camelus ferus unplaced genomic scaffold scaffold602, whole genome shotgun sequence.